UUCAGCAGUAGUCAGCUGUCCGUGUCAUUACCGUGCCUGACAGUGUUACACUGCUGGGAGAUGAAAAUAUUGUCCAAUCUGUCUGUCAUUGUCACCGUUCUGGAGGCAUUUUGGCAGCAGGGUGGGACAAUGCUGUGCUUCUCUGAGAGUGUGCUGAGCAGUUAAUAUCCUGCUCAGCAUUAGAAUGGGAGCAUACACA